rnacentral:lncRNA from 1 species
UCUGAUAUAUACAUGUUCCUGCACUAGAGGACCCAAUCAAAAUCCAUCACACAUCACAUCUCAAUAAUGUGCCAAUGUUUGUGAAACUAGGGAUUACAACAUUAAAAUCUGGUAUGCAUAUGUGAUAUUGUCAGGACAUCAAUAACUAAAAUAGGGUUGGUUUGAAUGCCAAUAAUUAUUCUAGAAUAUUAAUAAUCAAAUAGAACAGAACACAAACCUUGGUCAAUCAAAACUUGCGCCUAAACGUCUCACAUAAUUUUGCUUAAAGUGCUGGUCCCAAAACAAAUUCACAGAUAUUAUCCUCUGGGAUCCCUGAUUAAUAAUCCAGGGAUCAAUUAAAUCAUGUUGAGAUGUUAGUGGAAAUAAAUUGUCGUUUUCGUAUCCUCACACUCUGGUCGGCAAUGUCCUAUACAAGAAAAAUACAUAAAAAUUACUGUUGAAAUUUAAAAGUUAACCAAAACAAUGUGAUAUGAAAAUUUAGGCAGUAGAUAAUUUUCACAAUAUAAAUGACUCGUAUGUCAUUGAUACUGAAUAUUAUUGGACACAUAACAAGUCUGCAAGUAAAAUAAACGAGUCCCCUAAGUUCUGUGUUUAAACUACAAAGUCAUAAUAUGGAAUAAUAAAAGAGAAACAACUCCUGCUGCUUAAGAUUCUUAACCAUUUUGAAAGUUAUAAAUGGGGCAGUAUAAGACAAGUAAGAAAGUACUGCUUUCAAUAACCUAAAUGAUUAAUGAAUUAUAACUGGAACAAAUGGACAGGAUUGUAUGUUAUAUGUUUACAAGCAUUUACGUUUAAAGAUGAGUGGAAACAGAUCAAAGUUGCUGGAACAUAAUGUGCCUACCACGUGUUUCUAUAAGAGGACAGUAAUUUCCUUAUGUUAAUAUUGAUGAUUACUUCGUAUGCAUCUAAUUUGCCUCUCCGUGUAUAUAUGCAAAUGAGGGGGGUGUUAGCUUGAUAUACAUUGUUGGGACUUGGAACCUUUUCUAAGUUUUUAAACUUAGAUAAGUUGAUUACUUAACAUGGUACCCAAUCCUUGGGCUAACUAAACACUCUUCUUGAUCUUCAUUCUUACCCACUUCCAGUCCAUUUCUUAAGGGUCAAAGUUACCCACUUCUUAACUAGUAACCACUUCUUAAUUGGGUUAAUAAUUGCUCGUGAUUUACUAGCUUUCUUCUGAACUUGACUUAUGACUAGCUUACUUCUGGACUUGUCUUUGUGUAAGUCUCAAUCAUCAGGCCCACAUGCAACCGUCAAUACAUCAGGUUACACACGAGGGGGAGUGUUAGAAUAAAUAACUUGUCCCACAAUUUUGGGUUAGAGACUUUGAUGUCUUUAUAUGCUAGAUUUGGGUCUAUUAUAUAAGUCUAACACAAUGCACUUGAAACACCUACAAAAUGCUCUUGUAACUGAACUUGUGGAGCUGAGAAUUUCAGAGAAGGCAAUUGAUGCAGUUCCUAAUGGGUUUAUAUGAAAGUUUUACAACAGCCAGAGGACAGGUUCCAAUGGUGUCAUCUCUACCUAUUGUUGGACAAGCUUACAAUAUGAUCAAGCAAUAAGAGAAAUAAAGACAGGGCUAUAUUCCUACCUCUGAUAUUACUGCCUUUUGCAGCCCAUGCAGUAGUACUACUAACUUAGAGACUGUUAAAUAUAUCAUUAAAGAUUUGUAUUGCCACAAAAAUCAGCCGACUAGACAAGAUGUGCAACUACCACUUAAACAACAAGACCUCCAUGUUUAGUAAACCCGCUUGCCACUCUAUCUACUUGGUUUAUGCCAACGCGCCAGAUAUAGUGUUGCUCUAAAUAAACAGAGUAAGCCAUCAAAACCAUCAAAAUAAAUAAAAAUUCAUUGAGCUAGAAACUGAUAUCAUCCACCUUAUCAUGCUUUCUAUCCUAUCAAAAGUUAACAUAUCUCCAACAGAAUUCUAAAAUCAGUACAGGCAGAAGACUGGGACACGUCCAUAAAGUCGCUAUACAAACACAUCCAGUAACAGCAAAAUAAAAUAUUUGUCAGAUGUGUUAAUUAUGCAUUAAAAAAACUGGGCAGAAAUUAGGGAUUCAGUCAUCUAUAGUUAAUUGGAAUGUUGAGAGAGCAUACAGUAAUGAAUUACAAAACUGCAAAUCGAAAUAGCAAAGUAAGAGUAGAAUUCUGUUGACAAACAAAUUAAUUGGGAAGAUAGAGGGAGUGAUUUAACUGAAAGCAGCGAGGAGAAAACUACCGGCGGACUGUUUGGACUCCCAGCUCCUGGCAGACUUCUGAAGAAGUCCCAUUGUUUUCCGCUGGUUUUUUUUUUAUUUUUCUACGACGUAGACGUAUGUGAUGGAGUAUUUGUUUGUUUUCUUUUUUUAAUUACAUCCAUUUUUUAUUUUUGCUGUUUUCGCAGGCAAAAUUAAACAAUUGAUCUCUGUAUCUUUAAUUCUUUAUUCCGUAACCGUAAGCGUAGGAUUAGGAAGGUCGGAUAGGGGAGGGAAAUAAACUGAACUGAUAACCCCAUUAUUCCUGUUAUUGCUUAGUCAAC